AAGCACUACAUACUAAUAGUUUAUUAACGGUCAAAUCAAUUUAAGACAUCAAUCAAACGUGAUAUAUUAAUUGGCAAUUAUACAAACUUUAAGAUUUAAUUGUAAAAAUUGAAAAAUUUUAUGGUUUUUUUGGCAACUGACCCUAAUUUGGGGUUUCUGUUGUAGCUUCUCCAGAGAUGAUAUGGCAGCUGACAUGGAAUUCUCAUUAAGUAUACUAACGGUUUAUUGACAGUCGAUUCAAUUUGAGACAUAAAUUAAACGUGAAUGUUUAAUUGAUAAUUAUGCAAAUU
rnacentral:misc_RNA from 1 species